rnacentral:rRNA from 1 species
AUUGAACGCUGGCGGCAUGCCUUACACAUGCAGGUCGAACGGUAACAGGUUAAGCUGACGAGUGGCGAACGGGUGAGUAAUGUAUCGGAACGUGCCCAGUCGUGGGGGAUAACUGCUCGAAAGAGCAGCUAAUACCGCAUACGACCUGAGGGUGAAAGCGGGGGAUCGCAAGACCUCGCGCGAUUGGAGCGGCCGAUAUCAGAUUAGGUAGUUGGUGAGGUAAAGGCUCACCAAGCCGACGAUCUGUAGCUGGUCUGAGAGGACGACCAGCCACACUGGGACUGAGACACGGCCCAGACUCCUACGGGAGGCAGCAGUGGGGAAUUUUGGACAAUGGGCGCAAGCCUGAUCCAGCCAUGCCGCGUGCGGGAAGAAGGCCUUCGGGUUGUAAACCGCUUUUGUCAGGGAAGAAAAGGUUCUGGCUAAUACCUGGGACUCAGGACGGUACCUGAAGAAUAAGCACCGGCUAACUACGU